GACGGAGGGUGCAAGCGUUGCUCGGAAUCACUGGGCGUAAAGGGUGCGUAGGCGGUCUCGCAAGUCUGGCGUGAAAGCCCAAGGCUCAGCCUUGGAAGUGCGCUCGAAACGGCGAGGCUGGAGUGCCGGAGGGGAGAGUGGAAUUCCCGGUGUAGCGGUGAAAUGCGUAGAUAUUAGGAAGAACACCAGUGGCGAAGGCGGCUCACUGGUCCGGUACUGACGCUGAGGUGCGAAAGCGUGGGGAGCAAACAGG
rnacentral:rRNA from 1 species